rnacentral:lncRNA from 1 species
GGGGCUACUCACUGGGCUCUCGGAGAAGCGGCAGCCCCGCGCGCGGCGGGUGCUCUGCAAGCGGCGGCCGGUGCCCGCCCUCUGGGUGCCGGACACGCGGCGCCAGCCUCCGGGCGGCGGGCGGGCGGGCGGUGCCUGCGUCCGCGAAGGGAACGCGAGCCGAGACCCGCGUCUAGGCCGGCGCCGGGCUCUGCGUCCUCCCUCGGCCCCGCUCCCCGGGGGCGGGGGGGCCCGGCGGCGCUCGGUCGCCAGCUCCCGGCUGCCCCGCGGCUUUCCGCGACAUCGGCCCCGCGGCCCGUCGUCCUUGCGGGCGGUCCUUCCGAGCCCGCGGCGGAGAAAGGACCCGGCUUUCCGUGCACUCGGACUUGGGGGGCGAGAGGGGUUUCCUGCGGAACCCAGGCCGUGAACCUGUUGCCCGACCGGGUUACUUACACUGGCACACACCACCCUUCUGGUUGCCAGGACGACCCCAGCCCUGGGGACGAGUUUUGCCGGUGCACCCAAAAUGUCUCCUCCGGUCCCCCAGGUUUGGGCUGUGGUGCCGCCGCGGGUUCUGUGAGCCCAGGCGUCCGGGAGCUCCCGGAUCCCAGACCGGGCGGCCCCCUCCUGCGCUCGCCGUGGUUCCAGGGUCUCGCCUCGGGACGGGAGCAGCAGAGCCUUCCUUCCAGGCGCCCCCGCCCCCCGACUCCCGUCCCCCCGCCCGGCCAAGCCGCUGGCUUUCUGCGUAGCCGGCGCCGUGACUCACCUCCUUCCUGGCUGCAGAGACCUGGUUGGCCUCAGCCCUUAGCUGUGGGGCCCUCGCCCCAAUCCUGCAUCUCCCUCUCGAGAUCUUCAAGAACCACCUCUCCAGCCUGCCUUGCUAAAGUUCCCGCAUAAUCAUUGCGUUCCUGCGGAAGAUUAGCCAACUUCUCAAGAGGAGUGUUUCAGACACACUAGGCUAUUGUCUAGAUCUGCAGCCUAAAUAGUAGUUUUUGAAACUACUUCCUGUUAUGUUCCUUGAUUGAGAUUAAAGUAUUCUUUUUCUUUGCGUAUUUUAAUAGUUUCAUAUGCUAGAGUUAAACUGGCUAUUUUAAAUUUUAUUUUAUUUUUAAAAAAUUUAUUCUCGGGAUCCCUGGGUGGCGCAGCGGUUUGGCGCCUGCCUUUGGCCCAGGGUGCGAUCCUGGAGACCCAGGAUCGAAUCCCACGUCGGGCUCCCGGUGCAUGGAGCCUGCUUCUCCCUCUGCCUAUGUCUCUGCCUCUCUCUCUCUCUCUCUGUGACUAUCAUAAAUAAUAAAUAAAUAAAAAAAUUAAAAAAAAAUUUAUUCUCAAAAUAUAGUUGAUAUACAAUGAUAUAUUAGUUUCAGGUGUACAUUAUUGUGAUUCGAUAAUUGUAUAUUCUGUGCAGAGAAUCUGGCUGUUUUUAAUUGUAAUUAUCUGGAUUCAUCAGUCCUCUGGCUUUAAUUGUCUCAUCACUAUCCUAAGGGAUGUAACUACCAGGAGACCUCAGAUGGAAUGGUGACUUAUUACGGGUCAUGUUUUUAGUGCUCAUUUAAAGUCUUACUUGCGGGACGCCUGGGUGGCUCAGCGCUUGAGCAUCUGCCUUUAGCUUAGAACGUGAUCCUGGAGUCCUGGGAUGGAGUCCCACAUCCGGCUCCCUGCAUGGAGCCUACUUCUCCCUCAGCUUGUGUCUCUGCCUCUCUCUGUGUCUCUCAUGAAUAAAUAAAUAAAAUCUUUUAAAAAAAGUCUUACUUGCAUUA